GAAUAAAAUGGUUGUCGGGGAAAAAUAUGGUAGUAGCUAGAAACAACCUUGGUAAGGGUUAUAAAACAUUAAGAUCAUUUGUAGUUUUAAAAGUAAAAUAAUAAACUCACCAAAAAAAAAUUACUACCUUAAUUAAGUUUAAGACAACUAUAAAACUCCUAUUUUCUAAAGAGGACAGCCCCAUUCAAAUUCGACCCUAAUCUCUCUUUCCCUUGUAUCCACAAAUCACAAUUGUCUCAAGUUCUCAACUGCAUUUCACAAUACGCUAACAUCGUGUCUUAGGUAAAACCUCUGACCCUAAUUUGCUUUAAAGUUCCAGCCUACAAGUUGUCAAGGAUUUUAACCUACAAAUUUGAUCAUUUUCUUCUAAUCUGAUUAUUUUGCUUGGUUUGAUCUGAUCUAAUUGAUCUGAUUUGAGUUUCUGCCCUUAAUUGAUUAAAUGUGUUAUAAUCUGAUUAUUUUAACCGACAACCACCCAACUCCGACGCUUCUUCUCCUUUCUUCGGUGAGACCAACCUUUCUCUUUCUCUAUUUUUCGAUCACCACUCAUUGCAAGUGCUAGUAGCUUCGAAUGGUGGUUCUCUGUCGUAUUCUUCUAAAGUCCAAUCUUUCUCCCCCAAUUCUAACUAAGAACUGCACACAUCAGAUACUUAAUUACGUGUAAGUUGAGACUGAAAACCGAUAAUUUAUUGCAAACAGUCAUCAGAUCUUAUAUGGAGUCUUAAAAAUCAAUGCAAUUUGAUCAAUGAAAUCCACAAAAUCCAUUCCCAAAUAUUCACAAGAUGACUUGUUUCUCUCUAUCCUUCAUUCGCCUCCUACCUACAGGUCACCAUCCUCCAUACCUUUAACUUCUUCAUCUCUGCCCCUCCACAUCCACUGCAUCGUCAUCAUCCCAUUUCAAUAAACUAACCUAUUUCUAUAUUCAACCUCAUCGGUAUUUAUAUCAGACAAGGAGGAGGACAAACAUAGAGGAGAUUUUUGGUCCGUCCAACUCCACAGUCGAGCUCAACAGUAGCAACACACAGGUGAGAAGGCGAGGUGGCUUGGAGGAUAUGGAGACGUUACUUGCAGCGGAUGAAAUCAGUCGUGUGAAGGGGAGGAUGAAGGUGGUUUGAAAGGGACGAUGAGUACCUCCGACGACUGGAUUUUGACUUCCUCCGGUGGCCAGAUUUUGACUUCUCAGGAAGGAGAGGUUUUCAGAUGAAGAUAGAGAAACGGGAAAAGGGAUUUAGGGAAUCCAGCUAAAUGAGGAUGGGGGUGGGUAAGUGUGAGGCCCAUAUCAUUUUCUAUAUAUUGUAAACAGUCAUCAUAUCUUAUAUGGAGUCUUAAAAAUCAAGGCAAUUUGGUCAACGAAAUCCACAAAUCCAUUCCCAAAUAUUCACCAGAUGGCUUGUUUCUCUCCAUCCUUCAUCCGCCUCCUACCUACAGGUCACCAUCCUCCAUACCUUCAACUUCUUCAUCUCUGACCCUCCACAUCCACUGCAUCGUCAUCAUCCCAUUUCAAUAAACUAACCUAUUUCUAUAUUCAGCCUCAUCGAUAUUUAGAUCAGAAAAUGAGGAGGACAAACAUAGAGGAGAUUUUUGGUCCGUCCAACUCCACAGUCGAGCUCAACAGUAGCAACACACAGGUGAGGAGGCGAUGGUGGCUUGGAGGAUAUGGCGACGUUACUUGCAGCGGAUGAAAUCGGUUGUGUGAAGGGGAUGACGAAGGUGGUUUGAAAGGGACGAUGAGUACCUCCGACGACUGGAUUUUGACUUCCUCCGGUGGCAAGAUUUUGACUUCUCAGGAAGGAAAGGUUUUGGAUGAAGAUAGAGAAACGAAUUCGGGUUUUCGGGUUUCGGGUAUUCGGGUUUGAGGUCGGGUCGGGUAUACCAGAAAAUUUAUUAAGUGACACUUAUUGAUAUUUUUUUUUGUUUUUUAUAUGUUGGUUGGUUUAAUAUAGAAUUAGUUAGGAAAAUACUCCAUACAAUUAACAAAUGCAUAUAGAAUAAAAAUACAAAUCAUUAUAAUAUGUUAUGAAGGGUUUUGUUUUAUUUGAAGUGUGCGUACGUGACUGCAUUGUAUAUUUGGUAUUAGUUAAAAAACGAAUUCGGAUAUACCCGAAAAUAAAUAUUCAUACCUAAAACCCGAACUAUAUUAUUAUCGCGUUAACCUAUUACCCGAAUGUUUAUACCCGUCACCCGUUCUACCCGACCCAUUCUACCCGAAUUCAGAACGGGUCGGAUGGGUAGAACGGGUUUCUGGUUUUUUCAACAGGCCUAAUAUGAUUACCUGUAUUUGUUUGCUAUAUGUUAUUUGUUACAUAUGUCGACAUAGUAUGGGUGGGUUGAGGCUAUACUGCUUUGUGUUGUCGGCUAACAAACCCAAACAAUCUAAUCGGGAGAUUCUGGGCCAGAAUGGCAAUCCAAUCAGGAGAUUGUGGACUAGAGUGGCAAUCUAAUCGGAAUAUUAUGGGCUAUGGUAAUCCAGUCGGGAGACUCUAGACCCAACAUGCAGUAUGUAUAUCUGUAUGGUUGUGUGUGGUACUUUGGGGGAACUCACUAAGCUUUGGCUUACAGUUUGAUGGUUAUGGUUUUAGGUACUUCAGAGGACACAGGG
rnacentral:lncRNA from 1 species